rnacentral:rRNA from 1 species
CGUGCUUAACACAUGCAAGUCGAACGAUGAACCGGUGCUUGCAUUGGGGAUUAGUGGCGAACGGGUGAGUAACACGUGAGUAACCUGCCCUUAACUCUGGGAUAAGCCUUGGAAACGGGGUCUAAUACUGGAUAUUGACUUUACCUCGCAUGGGGUUUUGUUGAAAGAUUUAUUGGUUUUGGAUGGACUCGCGGCCUAUCAGCUUGUUGGUGAGGUAAUGGCUCACCAAGGCGACGACGGGUAGCCGGCCUGAGAGGGUGACCGGCCACACUGGGACUGAGACACGGCCCAGACUCCUACGGGAGGCAGCAGUGGGGAAUAUUGCACAAUGGGCGAAAGCCUGAUGCAGCGACGCCGCGUGAGGGAUGACGGCCUUCGGGUUGUAAACCUCUUUCAGUAGGGAACAAGGCCAGCAUUUUUGUUGGUUGAGGGUACUUGCAGAAGAAGCGCCGGCUAACUACGUGCCAGCAGCCGCGGUAAUACGUAGGGCGCAAGCGUUAUCCGGAAUUAUUGGGCGUAAAGAGCUCGUAGGCGGUUUGUCGCGUCUGCCGUGAAAGUCCGGGGCUCAACCCCGGAUCUGCGGUGGGUACGGGCAGACUAGAGUGAUGUAGGGGAGACUGGAAUUCCUGGUGUAGCGGUGAAAUGCGCAGAUAUCAGGAGGAACACCGAUGGCGAAGGCAGGUCUCUGGGCAUUAACUGACGCUGAGGAGCGAAAGCAUGGGGAGCGAACAGGAUUAGAUACCCUGGUAGUCCAUGCCGUAAACGUUGGGCACUAGGUGUG